rnacentral:misc_RNA from 1 species
UCCCGGUUGGCCCGGGCGGUCCCGUGUGAAAAUUUCAACACACGGCAAGGGUUGCGCUCGUUGCGGGACUUAACCCAACAUCUCACGACACGAGCUGACGACGGCCAUGCAACACCUGUCACUAGAUUCCCGAAGGCACUCCGCUGUUUCCAGCAGAUUCCUAGGAUGUCAAGCCUUGGAUAAGGUUCUGCGCGUAGCGUCGAAUUAAACCACAUGCUCCACCGCUUGUGCGGCUCCCCGUCAAUUCCUUUGAGUUUUAAGCUUGCGCUCGUACUCCCCAGGCGGCAGGCUUAACGCGUUAGCUUCUCAGCCCAGAGGGUCGAUACUCCGAACUAACAGCCUGCAUCGUUUACGGCGUGGACUAC